UGCCUCAACAUACAAACCUUCUUCAGCUG
rnacentral:piRNA from 1 species